rnacentral:rRNA from 1 species
GAUGAACGCUGGCGGCGUGCCUAACACAUGCAAGUCGAACGAUGAAACUUAACUUAUUUCCGCAGAAUGACGUUAAGUGGGGUAGUGGCGGACGGGGGACGAACGCGCGCGCAACCUGCCGUGGAGAAGGGGGUAGCCUUUGGAAACGAAGAAAAAUACCCUCUGAUAUGAUGCUAGCGCAUGAUAUUAUCAUCAAAGAUUUAUCGCCCUAAGAUGGACUUGCGUCGGAUUAGGUAGUUGGGGAGGUAACAGCUCACCAAGGCAGCGAUCAGUAGCCGGCUUGAGAGAGUGUACGGCCACAUUGGGACUGAGACACGGCCCAGACUCCUACGGGAGGCAGCAGUGGGGAAUUUUGCACAAUGGGCGAAACCCUGAUGCAGCGACGCCGCGUGAUUUAGAAGGCCUUCGGGUUGUAAAAGCCUUUUUUAUGGGAAGAAAAUGACAGUACCAUACGAAUAAGGACCGGCUAAUUACGUG